rnacentral:rRNA from 1 species
AACUUCUAACGGUGGAUCUCUUGGCUCGUGCAUCGAUGAAGAACGUUGCCAGUUGCGAUAAGUAGUGUGAAUUGCAGAAUGAAGUGAAUCGUCGAAUCUUUGAACGCAAAUUGCACUCUCUGGAUAUCCGGAGAGUACGUCUGUCUGAGCGUCG